rnacentral:snoRNA from 1 species
AACUCAUUUCAAAAAGGGAUUGUGCUGCUGUAAAAAUCAACCGCUUUUGAUGCUAUGAUUAAAGAUUGAAGUUUUCCAUCGGCUGUCAGAGUGAAUCCAUCAUGCUGUGUAAUGCUGGGGUGAUAGAUCU